UACGUAGGGUGCGAGCGUUGUCCGGAAUUAUUGGGCGUAAAGCGCACGUAGGCGGCUUUGCAAGUCCCAUGUGAAAUCCCACGGCUUAACCGUGGAAGUGCAUGGGAAACUGCAGAGCUUGAGUACUUAAGAGGAUCGCGGAAUUCCCGGUGUAGAGGUGAAAUUCGUAGAUAUCGGGAGGAACACCAGUGGCGAAGGCGGCGAUCUGGGAAGAUACUGACGCUGAGGUGCGAAAGCGUGGGGGAGCAAACAGG
rnacentral:rRNA from 1 species